UACGAAGGACCCGAGCGUUAUCCGGAUUUAUUGGGUUUAAAGGGUGCGUAGGCGGCCUAUUAAGUCAGGGGUGAAAGACGGUAGCUUAACUAUCGCAGUGCCUUUGAUACUGAUGGGCUUGAAUGUAGUUGAGGUAGGCGGAAUGUGACAAGUAGCGGUGAAAUGCAUAGAUAUGUCACAGAACACCAAUUGCGAAGGCAGCUUACUAAAGUAUGAUUGACGCUGAGGCACGAAAGCGUGGGGAUCAAACAGG
rnacentral:rRNA from 1 species